ensembl:lincRNA
CCCGAGUCACACUGAUAAAUCUCAGGAACCUCUGCUGGAAAUGAAGACUGAAAAGAAGAUGGUGACUAAAUGUAAAACGCCAUAGGAGCACGGAGCUUAGGUUUUGUUUAAAAAUAAAACGGGAAAAAUCCACAUUCGUCCCCCACGGACAGACGUCCACUAUUGUCAGAGCUGUUAGCACGCGGCCGAGGGUGGAGGCACAGAGAGCAGUAAGCUGGAAAGUCACAGAGCUGCUGAGCUUCUGCACAACUGGUAUCUGUCAGUUAUGAAAUUCUUGGCGAUUUGCGAAUGAAAACUGUCAGUGCUAAGCAGAGGGCAUAAGCUUCAGUACUGACACGAGAAGCCUGCAAGGAAAGGCUAAAACUGUGUCGAAGGAAAACCUAUGAACUAGGAAAGAGGUGUGUCCACGGCAAUUCUGUUUAGCUCUUGGACCAUGGGCAAGAUCACCCGUGCCUGCCCUGGGAAGGAUGCUGCGUCUCUGGCCACUCCCACGUGAAGGCACAGCACGACAGAGCAAACCCGGGGCCAGGCCCUCGGGCUCAGCUGGGCCCUGGAACUUCCCAGCCCUGCCGUCCUGGGCAAGGUGCGUGGCUUCCCUGGGCCCUGGUGAGGCUGGAGCUGGAGCCUCAUAACAUCCUGUCAAGUUCCAGGGCUCCACCGCCGCCUCUUGGGGCAGGUAGGGCCAAUACCUGCGUGUUUGCUGCUGUUUUUAUUGCUACAGCUUGUUAAAGAGCAACCCCGAGAGCCAUAAGAGAUAGCUCUGAGAACAGUGGGGUGUACUAUUGAGUCUUAUGAUCACGUGUUAGUUCUCACUCUGCGGAGCUAUGUUGGUUCCAUGUAUUAUCUCAUGGUGCUAGAGGCCUCGCGGGGCUGGAAUCGGGCUUUGGCGGGCUCUUCCUCCCCGGGAGAGGUAGGGGCUCCAUUUCCUUUCCUUUCCUUCCUCCCAGGUCACACACAUCCCAGCACGGCCCCAAGGCCAGCUCUGCACAGCGUCAUUCCCACCCUGACUCGUCUUCUUCCUUCCUCCACACCUUUGGAGCAACCGCGUUCCUCUCCGGCCCAUCCUGAGACACAUCCGCAGGCUCCAGGGCUCCAGGCAGAGCCAUUGUGUGGAGUGACCGCUCUGCAGCCAAAGAGAGGACCGAGUCCGUCCGUCCUAGGAGCCGCAGGGAGAGGACGUCUAGCACUUAGGAGGGCUGUUAACCAACAAGGGAGCACAGAGGAAGGAAGAAAGCCAAUAAAAUCAUCACCUGCCCAGCAAAGCACCUCACUUAGGCUUAUCCUGGUACGAAAGAUCUUGGAGAAAGAGCUAAGCUCAACGCUGCAAGGUUGAUUUCCUCAGAAACCCGCCAACUUUUACACUUGCGCUAGCCAAGGCUGCACCCUUGCUGGGCGACGUGGACAGGGAGCUGAGAACUGAAAUUCACCGUCUCUGAGAGAAGCAGCACCAAAUCGCUUGGGCGACAGACCACGGCCAAAGAUGGUGUCUGUGCUGCCUGUGUGAGGUCACCGCUUCAUUAACCCAGGGGCAGCAUCGGGGACUUCAGUGGCAACCAGCACAGCUCUCGGUGCUUCACUAGCCAGGCUGUUCCGAGUUCUUUCGGAUAUUUUUAACUAGAGGUGUUGCUGCCUUUGGGAACCUGUCACUAAGAGGAUCCCGGAAAGUGAGGGUCCCCUCCGGACUUCCCAGGCAGGAACAGCUGUGUCCUAGCCAGAGCUCCGAUCCUGUCUCCCACCUCCGGGCCCAGCCUAGAUCUCGAGCCUACUCCAGCCUCCUCUCUGCCCUUUGUCCCCUUGCUGUCCAUCACACGGUGCUGGAUCUCAGAGUUGCGUGGUCCACUAGGGAUAUUUGGGGUUAAUGACGUCCACUGUGCUUGGAAACUUGCGUUUUUAUGGCACCACAGUAAAGUUCCUGGGUAGAGUUUGGUUGUCUUUGUUCAAAACAGCCACAGAGCACGGUCAAGUUGCCCACGGGUUAAAGGAAGCCAGAGAGUGUGGAGCAUGAGUGACUCAUCUUCACGGUGGAAAGUGUGACCUUGAAAAGCCUGGAAGCCAGAAAUCAAGAAGUGAAGGGCCCAUCGUGGCUCCUCGCUGCCAAGCAAAAUAAAACUUCUCUUUGUCAAAGUGGGUCACUGGCGUAAGCUCUGUUAAGAAAAAGUGCUUUCUCUGACGUUAGCUUUGUGAAAAGAAAUCACUUAUGUUAUUUAGACCCGAUUUCCUGGAGUGGAAACACGCGUUUCUCUAACAACGGGUCCAGCAGAAGCAGUGGUGGCUUCAGGGCUUAAACAGUUUAAGCCUGACUCUUGGUGGUCAGAAGCAUAAAAUCUGUUUCUGUCUCCUCACUUUGUAUGUGAGUACCAGCAAAGGCUUCCUCUUCUCCUUGCAUUUGGAAACUUCUGGUUGAAUUUGACUCAAC